rnacentral:lncRNA from 1 species
AUGGGGCUUAAGGAUUGUUUCACAGCAGGUGAAGGAAGAUCAGAAGUAAAGGUGGGAGGCACAGCAGCUGUAACAGUAAUAUUAGAUGCAAAAAAACUGGAAUUCACUAGCAACCAAGCAACAAUUACAGCCAUCUCAAAUCACACUUGUUCUCUGCUGAAACCCUUCACACCCAACCAUUCCUUGGUCAGUAGAGCCGGGGAUAAAUUCAAGACCUUAUUUGCGGGAAUUGCGCAACUUCUUCCCCCAAGACUCACUUGUUAAGUCAAUUGGUAUUGAAGAAAGUGGUUUCGCUAUGUAGAUGAUUACAUAAGAAAUCUAGCAACCAGCUUGAGGCCCAGAUGGGGAUUACACUACAGAGCACUGAUGUACAUUAGGGGCUUUCUUUUGUGCACUUUCUCGAGUGUUGGUUGUCCAGCCGUCACAAUUUGAAGUUUUGAACUGUAGCAAAUAAUCAGUGUAGAUAGUGCCUCAAGCUGCCAACCUAAAGCAAAUAGUACACAAGUAAGUGUUUGGGUUUAUUUAUACUGUAGGAUUAAUGAAGUUUAACACCGCUUUAACUGCCAUGGCUAAAUGAUAUGGAAUCCUGGUGUUUGUAGUUUGGUGAGGCACCAGCCCUUUUUGGCAAAAAAAAGACUAAAGACCUUAUAAAACUACAAGCUCUGUGAUUUUGUAGCAUUGGGCCAUAGCAAUUAAAGUGGUGUUGGGCUGCAUUAAUUCAUCAGCACAAUGGAAAAGCCCCAGCUUGGCAGCAGUUCAUACAAGGAUGUUCUUGCAGUAAACAGAAGAAAAAAAUUUGGACUACAGCUCCCACAAAUUCUUGCUAGUCCAUAUCAUUUGGUGCAUUGUGGGAGCUACAUGUUGAAAAAAUAAUUAUCCCAAGCUCUGGUAGUGAGAAACCUCCAUCCAACCCUGUGGUUGUUGGUCAGUUUCUUGUUCCUCAGUUUCCAGAUACAAGAACAAGCACAGGAAAGGCUCACCUCUUCUGCUGAAAAGACAGUGGAAUAGGAACAGAUUUUUUAAAAUGACAGUCUAAGACUAUAUUCAUCUCUACAUACAUGUCC